rnacentral:rRNA from 1 species
AUACGUAGGGUGCAAGCGUUAAUCGGAAUUACUGGGCGUAAAGCGUGCGCAGGCGGUUUUGUAAGACAGAGGUGAAAUCCCCGGGCUCAACCUGGGAACUGCCUUUGUGACUGCAAGGCUAGAGUACGGGAGAGGGGGAUGGAAUUCCGCGGGGAGCCGGGAAAUGCGUAGAUAUGCGGAGGAACACCGAUGGCGAAGGCAAUCCCCUGGGCCUGUACUGACGCUCAUGCACGAAAGCGUGGGGAGCAAACAGGAUUAGAUACCCUGGUAGUCCACGCCCUAAACGAUGUCAACUGGUUGUUGGGUCUUCAUUGACUCAGUAACGAAGCUAACGCGUGAAGUUGACCGCCUGGGGAGUACGGCCGCAAGGUUGAAACUCAAAUGAAUUGACGGGG